rnacentral:rRNA from 1 species
ACGCACGCUGGCGGCGUGCUUAACACAUGCCAGUCGAACGGAAAGGCCCUGCUUUUGUGGGGUGCUCGAGUGGCGAACGGGUGAGUAACACGUGAGUAACCUGCCCUUGACUUUGGGAUAACUUCAGGAAACUGGGGCUAAUACCGGAUAGGAGCUCCUGCUGCAUGGUGGGGGUUGGAAAGUUUCGGCGGUUGGGGAUGGACUCGCGGCUUAUCAGCUUGUUGGUGGGGUAGCGGCUUACCAAGGCUUUGACGGGUAGCCGGCCUGAGAGGGUGACCGGCCACAUUGGGACUGAGAUACGGCCCAGACUCCUACGGGAGGCAGCAGUGGGGAAUAUUGCACAAUGGGCGGAAGCCUGAUGCAGCAACGCCGCGUGCGGGAUGACGGCCUUCGGGUUGUAAACCGCUUUCGCCUGUGACGAAGCGUGAGUGACGGUAAUGGGUAAAGAAGCACCGGCUAACUACGUG